AAACUUUCAACAACGGAUCUCUUGGCUCUGGCAUCGAUGAAGAACGCAGCGAAACGCGAUAAGUAAUGUGAAUUGCAGAAUCCAGUGAAUCAUCGAGUCUUUGAACGCACAUUGCGCCCGCCAGCAUUCUGGCGGGCAUGCCUGUUCGAGCGU
rnacentral:rRNA from 1 species